AUUAAACGCUGGCGGCAGGCCUAACACAUGCAAGUCGAGCGGAUGAAGGGAGCUUGCUCCUGGAUUCAGCGGCGGACGGGUGAGUAAUGCCUAGGAAUCUGCCUGGUAGUGGGGGACAACGUUUCGAAAGGAACGCUAAUACCGCAUACGUCCUACGGGAGAAAGCAGGGGACCUUCGGGCCUUGCGCUAUCAGAUGAGCCUAGGUCGGAUUAGCUAGUUGGUGAGGUAAUGGCUCACCAAGGCGACGAUCCGUAACUGGUCUGAGAGGAUGAUCAGUCACACUGGAACUGAGACACGGUCCAGACUCCUACGGGAGGCAGCAGUGGGGAAGAUUGGACAAUGGGCGAAAGCCUGAUCCAGCCAUGCCGCGUGUGUGAAGAAGGUCUUCGGAUUGUAAAGCACUUUAAGUUGGGAGGAAGGGUUGUAGAUUAAUACUCUGCAAUUUUGACGUUACCGACAGAAUAAGCACCGGCCAACUCUGUGCCAGCAGCCGCCGUAACAC
rnacentral:rRNA from 1 species